AACGUUUCCCUCCCAAUUUCAAACUGAAGGGCAUCCUUGUCUUUUCCAUUAUUUUACUUGCCUAUAAAUAGAGACUCGAAUUCAUUUGUUUAAUCAUCCAAACUCAGAGCAAACUUAGUUUCACUUAGGCAUAUAUUCAGUAUUUUAAAGUGGUAAUCGCUUCACAUAGAGUUGUUGCCACAAUUGUGUAAUCGAGUUUGUAAUCGAGUUUGGAGCACUUUG
rnacentral:lncRNA from 1 species